UACAGAGGGUGCGAGCGUUGUUCGGAAUUAUUGGGCGUAAAGGGCGCGUAGGCGGUGCCACAAGUCACUUGUGAAAUCUCCGGGCUUAACUCGGAGCCUGCAGGCGAAACUGUGGUGCUGGAGUGUGGGAGAGGUGCGUGGAAUUCCCGGAUGGUAGCGGUGGAAAUGACGUAGAUAUCUGGAGGAACACCGGUGGCGAAGGCGGCGUUCUGGACUGCAACUGACACUGAGUGAACGAAAGCCAGGGGAGCAAACGGG
rnacentral:rRNA from 1 species